GAUGAACGCUGGCGGCGUGCCUAAUACAUGCAAGUCGAGCGAACAGAUGAGGAGCUUGCUCCUCUGACGUUAGCGGCGGACGGGUGAGUAACACGUGGAUAACCUACCUAUAAGACUGGGAAAACUUCGGGAAACCGGAGCUAAUACCGGAUAAUAUAUUGAACCGCAUGGUUCAAUAGUGAAAGACGGUUUUGCUGUCACUUAUAGAUGGAUCCGCGCCGCAUUAGCUAGUUGGUAAGGUAACGGCUUACCAAGGCGACGAUGCGUAGCCGACCUGAGAGGGUGAUCGGCCACACUGGAACUGAGACACGGUCCAGACUCCUACGGGAGGCAGCAGUAGGGAAUCUUCCGCAAUGGGCGAAAGCCUGACGGAGCAACGCCGCGUGAGUGAUGAAGGUCUUCGGAUCGUAAAACUCUGUUAUUAGGGAAGAACAAAUGUGUAAGUAACUAUGCACGUCUUGACGGUACCUAAUCAGAAAGCCACGGCUAACUACGUG
rnacentral:rRNA from 1 species